CCUACGGGAGGCAGCAGUGGGGGAUAUUGCACAAUGGGCGGAACCCUGAUGCAGCGACGCCGCGUGGGUGAAGGAGUGCUUCGGCAUGUAAAGCCCUAUCGGCAGGGAAGAAGCAAGACGGUACCUGACUAAGAAGCACCGGCUAACUACGUGCCAGCAGCCGCGGCAAUACGUCGGGGGCGAGCGUUAUCCGGAUUCACUGGGUGUAAAGGGAGCGUAGACGGCCAAGCAAGCCAGGGGGUAAAGACCGGGGGCCAACCCCGGGACUGCCCUUGGAACUGGGUGGCUUGAGUGCGGGAGGGGCAGGCGGAAUUCGUGGUGUAGCGGUGAAAUGCGUAGAUAUCAGGAGGAACACCGGCGGCGAAGGCGGCCUGCUGGACCGCGACUGACGUUGAGGCUCGAAAGCGUGGGGAGCGAACAGGAUUAGAUACCCGAGUAGUC
rnacentral:rRNA from 1 species